rnacentral:rRNA from 2 species
GGGUUGUGAGGUUAAGCGACUAAGCGUACACGGUGGAUGCCCUGGCAGUCAGAGGCGAUGAAGGGCGUGCUAAUCUGCGAUAAGCGCGGUAAGGUGAUAUGAACCGUUAUAACCGGCGAUACCCGAAUGGGGAAACCCAGUGUGUUCGUCACACUAUCAUUAACUGAAUCCAUAGGUUAAUGAGGCGAACCGGGGGAACUGAAACAUCUAAGUACCCGAGGAAAAGAAAUCAACCGAGAUUCCCCAGUAGCGGCGAGCGAACGGGGAGGAGCCCAGAGCCUGAAUCAGCAUAUGUGUUAGUGGAAGCGUCUGGAAAGGCGCGCGAUACAGGGUGACAGCCCCGUACACAAAAGCGCAUGUGCUGUGAGCUCGAUGAGUAGGGCGGGACACGUGGUAUCCUGUCUGAAUAUGGGGGACCAUCCUCCAAGGCUAAAUACUCCUGACUGACCGAUAGUGAACCAGUACCGUGAGGGAAAGGCGAAAAGAACCCCGGCGAGGGGUGAAAAAGAACCUGAAACCGUGUACGUACAAGCAGUGGGAGCACCCUUUGGGGUGUGACUGCGUACCUUUUGUAUAAUGGGUCAGCGACUUAUAUUCUGUAGCAAGGUUAACCGAAUAGGGGAGCCGGAGGGAAACCGAGUCUUAAUUGGGCGUUAAGUUGCAGGGUAUAGACCCGAAACCCGGUGAUCUAGCCAUGGGCAGGUUGAAGGUUGGGUAACACUAACUGGAGGACCGAACCGACUAAUGUUGAAAAAUUAGCGGAUGACCUGUGGCUGGGGGUGAAAGGCCAAUCAAACCGGGAGAUAGCUGGUUCUCCCCGAAAGCUAUUUAGGUAGCGCCUCGUGAAUUCAUCUCCGGGGGUAGAGCACUGUUUCGGCUAGGGGCCAUCCCGGCUUACCAACCCGAUGCAAACUGCGAAUACCGGAGAAUGUUAUCACGGGAGACACGGCGGGUGCUAACGUCCGUCGUGAAGAGGGAAACAACCCAGACCGCCAGCUAAGGUCCCAAAGUCAUGGUUAAGUGGGAAACGAUGUGGGAAGGCCCAGACAGCCAGGAUGUUGGCUUAGAAGCAGCCAUCAUUUAAAGAAAGCGUAAUAGCUCACUGGUCGAGUCGGCCUGCGCGGAAGAUGUAACGGGGCUAAACCAUGCACCGAAGCUGCGGCAGCGACGCUGAUGCGUUGUUGGGUAGGGGAGCGUUCUGUAAGCCUGCGAAGGUGGCCUGUGAGGGUUGCUGGAGGUAUCAGAAGUGCGAAUGCUGACAUAAGUAACGAUAAAGCGGGUGAAAAGCCCGCUCGCCGGAAGACCAAGGGUUCCUGUCCAACGUUAAUCGGGGCAGGGUGAGUCGACCCCUAAGGCGAGGCCGAAAGGCGUAGUCGAUGGGAAACGGGUUAAUAUUCCCGUACUUGGUGUUACUGCGAAGGGGGGACGGAGAAGGCUAUGUUGGCCGGGCGACGGUUGUCCCGGUUUAAGCGUGUAGGUGUGUGUUCCAGGUAAAUCCGGUUCACUUUAACACUGAGGCGUGAUGACGAGGCACUACGGUGCUGAAGCAACAAAUGCCCUGCUUCCAGGAAAAGCCUCUAAGCAUCAGUACAUCAAAUCGUACCCCAAACCGACACAGGUGGUCAGGUAGAGAAUACCAAGGCGCUUGAGAGAACUCGGGUGAAGGAACUAGGCAAAAUGGUGCCGUAACUUCGGGAGAAGGCACGCUGACACGUAGGUGAAGUGAUUUACUCAUGGAGCUGAAGUCAGUCGAAGAUACCAGCUGGCUGCAACUGUUUAUUAAAAACACAGCACUGUGCAAACACGAAAGUGGACGUAUACGGUGUGACGCCUGCCCGGUGCCGGAAGGUUAAUUGAUGGGGUCAGCGCAAGCGAAGCUCCUGAUCGAAGCCCCGGUAAACGGCGGCCGUAACUAUAACGGUCCUAAGGUAGCGAAAUUCCUUGUCGGGUAAGUUCCGACCUGCACGAAUGGCGUAAUGAUGGCCAGGCUGUCUCCACCCGAGACUCAGUGAAAUUGAACUCGCUGUGAAGAUGCAGUGUACCCGCGGCAAGACGGAAAGACCCCGUGAACCUUUACUAUAGCUUGACACUGAACAUUGAGCCUUGAUGUGUAGGAUAGGUGGGAGGCUUUGAAGUGUGGACGCCAGUCUGCAUGGAGCCGGCCUUGAAAUACCACCCUUUAAUGUUUGAUGUUCUAACGUGGACCCGUGAUCCGGGUUGCGGACAGUGUCUGGUGGGUAGUUUGACUGGGGCGGUCUCCUCCUAAAGAGUAACGGAGGAGCACGAAGGUUGGCUAAUCCUGGUCGGACAUCAGGAGGUUAGUGCAAUGGCAUAAGCCAGCUUGACUGCGAGCGUGACGGCGCGAGCAGGUGCGAAAGCAGGUCAUAGUGAUCCGGUGGUUCUGAAUGGAAGGGCCAUCGCUCAACGGAUAAAAGGUACUCCGGGGAUAACAGGCUGAUACCGCCCAAGAGUUCAUAUCGACGGCGGUGUUUGGCACCUCGAUGUCGGCUCAUCACAUCCUGGGGCUGAAGUAGGUCCCAAGGGUAUGGCUGUUCGCCAUUUAAAGUGGUACGCGAGCUGGGUUUAGAACGUCGUGAGACAGUUCGGUCCCUAUCUGCCGUGGGCGCUGGAGAACUGAGGGGGCUGCUCCUAGUACGAGAGGACCGGAGUGGACGCAUCACUGGUGUUCGGGUUGUCAUGCCAAUGGCACUGCCCGGUAGCUAAAUGCGGAAGAGAUAAGUGCUGAAAGCAUCUAAGCACGAAACUUGCCCCGAGAUGAGUUCUCCCUGAGACUUAGAGUCUCCUGAAGGAACGUUGAAGACGACGACGUUGAUAGGCCGGGUGUGUAAGCGCAGCGAUGCGUUGAGCUAACCGGUACUAAUGAACCGUGAGGCUUAACCUUACAACGCCGAAG